CCAGACUCCUACGGGAGGCAGCAGUGGGGAAUAUUGGACAAUGGGGGAAACCCUGAUCCAGCGACGCCGCGUGAGUGAAGAAGUAUUUCGGUACGUAAAGCUCUAUCAGCAGGAAAGAAAAUGACGGUACCUGACUAAGAAGCCCCGGCUAACUCCGUGCCAGCAGCCGCGGUAAUACGGAGGAUGCGAGCGUUAUCCGGAUUCAUUGGGUUUAAAGGGUGCGCAGGCGGGCCUUUAAGCCGGCGGGGAAAUGGGGGGGGCCCACCCCCGCCGAGCCGUCGGAACUGGGGGCCUUGAGUGCGGCGGAGGCAUGCGGAAUGCGCGGUGUAGCGGUGAAAUGCAUAGAUAUCGCGCAGAACCCCGAUUGCGAAGGCAGCGUGCCGUGCCGCCACUGACGCUGAGGCACGAAAGCGCGGGGAUCGAACAGGAUUAGAUACCCGUGUA
rnacentral:rRNA from 1 species